UUAUUAGGUGAGUGGUGGUGGUGGUGCGUCCAGCAAGUUCGAGUCCUGCCCCAUCCUCCUGCUCACCUCCUAAAAGCCCAAAAAUAGAACAAAUAGAAGGAAAAAAAAAACUAAAAGUUUUCGCCGCUCGCUUCCCGUUUUAAUUUCAGUUUGACAAAAAGGCGAGAUCCUGGCUGCCAAACUCGCACUGAGUGGGGUCCUUUCUGUCAAACGGCGGUUAUGAACGCGUCCAGCUAAUUACGAGUCCUUCGCGCAAACACAACCGCCAAUUAAGUACACUUUCCUCGUGAUAUCACUUAUUUCGCCGACAAACUAUUGGAUGGGAUAGAUAGUUAAAUUAUGCAAUAUUUUGUAAACUUCAAGGGUCAAUAAUCCAUCACAAACUUCAAUCUUUCUGCAGCCGAUAUUCGUGGAGUAAUCCUUCUGGCUCAGCGAUCAGGAUAUCCGCGAUAUAUUACUUAUAUCUCAUAUGUAUAUUAUAUACUUAUAUUUGAAUACUUACAGUCCACGAAGAGUUGAAUGGAUUAGGUCUUCAUUAAGUCGAAAUAUCCUUUCCAUUACUUAGCAAUAUUUAUGCUCACAAGUAGUUUAUGCUACCUGACUGGCAUAAAUCCCGAUUUCUCUUCCCAAUAUCACUAUAUAUAUAACUGGCCAAACUCGCAGCGUGAUGUAUGCAUUUGUGCGUCGGUCAUCGAAGCUGAUGAGCUGGCUAAAUACUGUGUAAUUAAUCACCAGUCGAGCAGUCGAGCAGUUGAGCAGUCGAGCAGCAUGCCAUUUAUUACUCGGCAGUCGCCCGUGCCUGGGAUAUCAGUUGAUUUCCUCCCAGACGCCUAAUUACUCAGAAGAUAGAGAUCCCGUAGCCUGCAGCUUGCACAUGUCCCUUAAUGGCAGCCAUUUUCCAUGCGAUUUAACAAUUUUCGAGCGCGUUUUUAUGCCACACAAUAAGUGGCGCCAUCAAGUAUGCAGCACAGUCUCCAAAUAAUUUACUCAGCUUUUGAAGAAAUAUUCAAUCGAAUUAGUGCGAUUUCUGGCAAGAAUCUUAUAGUUUACAAGUUAUGAAACGAAUAUCUAGCUUGAUUGUGAAUUGUAAUAUAAUUUAAACAACUGAAGAUGUGCUAACUAGAUAUGUACUCGACUAUUUAAGCAGCCUUGUUACCAAGGCAUCCUUUGUAGUAGGCCAAUUCCUGCGAAUGCCAGGGAAAUCGGGCGACAUUCAAAUUUCCCUUUGCAAUUCAUUAGCAAACGCGAUUUGGCGGCUGCCGAGUGUUUAUUAACAAAGCCUCCACUUAACUUUGCGUGGCUUGCUUUUUGA